GGCACUACGGUGCUGAAGCAACAAAUGCCCUGCUUCCAGGAAAAGCCUCUAAGCAUCAGGUAACAUCAAAUCGUACCCCAAACCGACACAGGUGGUCAGGUAGAGAAUACCAAGGCGCUUGAGAGAACUCGGGUGAAGGAACUAGGCAAAAUGGUGCCGUAACUUCGGGAGAAGGCACGCUGAUAUGUAGGUGAAGUCCCUUGCGGAUGGAGCUGAAAUCAGUCGAAGAUACCAGCUGGCUGCAACUGUUUAUUAAAAACACAGCACUGUGCAAACACGAAAGUGGACGUAUACGGUGUGACGCCUGCCCGGUGCCGGAAGGUUAAUUGAUGGGGUUAGCGGUAACGCGAAGCUCUUGAUCGAAGCCCCGGUAAACGGCGGCCGUAACUAUAACGGUCCUAAGGUAGCGAAAUUCCUUGUCGGGUAAGUUCCGACCUGCACGAAUGGCGUAAUGAUGGCCAGGCUGUCUCCACCCGAGACUCAGUGAAAUUGAACUCGCUGUGAAGAUGCAGUGUACCCGCGGCAAGACGGAAAGACCCCGUGAACCUUUACUAUAGCUUGACACUGAACAUUGAGCCUUGAUGUGUAGGAUAGGUGGGAGGCUUUGAAGUGUGGACGCCAGUCUGCAUGGAGCCGACCUUGAAAUACCACCCUUUAAUGUUUGAUGUUCUAACGUUGGCCCGUUAUCCGGGUUGCGGACAGUGUCUGGUGGGUAGUUUGACUGGGGCGGUCUCCUCCUAAAGAGUAACGGAGGAGCACGAAGGUUGGCUAAUCCUGGUCGGACAUCAGGAGGUUAGUGCAAUGGCAUAAGCCAGCUUGACUGCGAGCGUGACGGCGCGAGCAGGUGCGAAAGCAGGUCAUAGUGAUCCGGUGGUUCUGAAUGGAAGGGCCAUCGCUCAACGGAUAAAAGGUACUCCGGGGAUAACAGGCUGAUACCGCCCAAGAGUUCAUAUCGACGGCGGUGUUUGGCACCUCGAUGUCGGCUCAUCACAUCCUGGGGCUGAAGUAGGUCCCAAGGGUAUGGCUGUUCGCCAUUUAAAGUGGUACGCGAGCUGGGUUUAGAACGUCGUGAGACAGUUCGGUCCCUAUCUGCCGUGGGCGCUGGAGAACUGAGGGGGGCUGCUCCUAGUACGAGAGGACCGGAGUGGACGCAUCACUGGUGUUCGGGUUGUCAUGCCAAUGGCACUGCCCGGUAGCUAAAUGCGGAAGAGAUAAGUGCUGAAAGCAUCUAAGCACGAAACUUGCCCCGAGAUGAGUUCUCCCUGACUCCCUGAGAGUCCUGAAGGAACGUUGAAGACGACGACGUUGAUAGGCCGGGUGUGUAAGCGCAGCGAUGCGUUGAGCUAACCGGUACUAAUGAACCGUGAGG
rnacentral:rRNA from 1 species